rnacentral:snoRNA from 14 species
AGCCACAGUGCAGUACAGGCAGUGGGAUUGUCCUGUGCAGUGGGCUGAUCCCAGGACAGUGGUGGCUAUAGAAAGUCAGGUUUUGCUUUCACCUUGGCACUGGUUGUGGCUGAAUGGUGACAAUGAGGCCUGGUACAUUC